CCCCCCCCCCGCCCUAGAGUUUGAUCCUGGCUCAGGACGAACGCUGGCGGCGUGCUUAACACAUGCAAGUCGAACGGUGAAGCCCAGCUUGCUGGGUGGAUCAGUGGCGAACGGGUGAGUAACACGUGAGUAACCUGCCCCUGACUCUGGGAUAAGCCUUGGAAACGAGGUCUAAUACCGGAUAUGUGACGUUCAGGCAUCUGAUGCGUCUGGAAAGAUUUAUCGGUCAGGGAUGGACUCGCGGCCUAUCAGCUUGUUGGUGGGGUAACGGCCUACCAAGGCGACGACGGGUAGCCGGCCUGAGAGGGCGACCGGCCACACUGGGACUGAGACACGGCCCAGACUCCUACGGGAGGCAGCAGUGGGGAAUAUUGCACAAUGGGCGCAAGCCUGAUGCAGCGACGCCGCGCGAGGGAUGAAGGCCUUCGGGUUGUAAACCUCUUCAGCAGGAAGAAGCGCAAGUGACGUACCUGAAAGAAUUCAGGCACGGAC
rnacentral:rRNA from 1 species